AAACUGCUAGGGAUAUCCAUACAGUCAAUUACAACGAAAGAAGCUAAAACUUAUGCUUUGUGUUUCGAUCAGACUGGAUGAUUUCACAUUAUUAUUUCUUCACUGAUAGUCAAAAUGUAGUUGUAUUACUAACACAGCAUCCAGAAAGUGCCUAUAUAGUUACAAAUUACUUGAAGGUAGAGAGGCUGUUUCAUAUAGACUCUCGGCUCAAAGAAAGAUGCAAAAGAAAGAAGCAGGAACAAACUAAAAAAAACAAUAAGAUGAUACAAUGAUCAAGGCUAUAGAAACAAGCGGUAGUAACAAAUAAAUCUAAAAACACAAAAAACAGGAAUAAUACUAAUGUACGGGAUGGUGCUUUAUGUAUAGAUCCGUAAAUAUCUGGACAACCUACUGCUGCAUUUUCAUGUGUUACCCAAUUGUGGUGAAUGGAAGCUGGUCCUGAGCACGUACAGUGGAUAAUGUUGGGCACAGUAAAGGACCUGUUAGACAGAUGACCUUAGAAGAAAGCAAGAAUACAUAGGACACGAGAGAUAGCCUAUGUAGCCCUUAUAUGGAUCCUUUGGAAGGAGAGCAUGGAAGAGUUCAUGAUAAGUUUAUAUAUUUGAAGAAUAACCUCCUGUUUUUGGUUAAUCUCUCUGACAGUUUGUUGGUUUCUCUACUUUUUGGUGUAUUACUUCUACACGGAAGUUUACCCACAUUAACAAGAUUAUUACUUCAUCACAACAUUUUUUUGUAAGUGGAAUUAAUAAGAUGUUCUUCUUUGGGAUAAUCUUAGUAGCUCAGUAAGUUGGAUAGUGAGGGUUCAAUUCUCCACCUUGUUAUCUCCUUCCUCUAUCCCCAACUUCUUUUUUUUUUUUAAAAAGAUGUUCUGCAUUAUCUUCAACGGAUUCUACACUAAUGUAACUUCCUUAAAGCUUUUUGUGGACACCUUGACAAGUUGCUAUACCAGGACCUGAUAAAAUGUAUUACGGCACCCAUCAAUUCAAGCAACAAGUGAUAAGGGAAUCAUUAACUUCAUAGUGGUUAAGACUUGCAUUGCAUUUCCUCCCAAAAACUCACUCAUUUGCAGUCUAUCUUACUAAAUAACAACAACAUACCAAGUGUUCCCACAGAUUGAAGUUCGGGGGAGAGUAGAGUGUACCAUACCUUAAUCUACCUCAGCCAAGAUGUUGUUUCCAGUAGACCCUCGCUCAAGACAUAAACAAACUAGAAAUAGACACAAUAAAAGUACAAAAGACAAUAGGUAGUAACAAACAACAGAUAGUAAGAGGGCAAUAUUACAACUAAAUAACACUACAAUCAAACUACACAUAUCUUACUAAAUUACAAUUUUGUUUUUUUACCGAAUUCAUUUAAAGUUGAUCAUCAAUUGAGUUAAAAGAAUUGAAAAGCUUUA
rnacentral:misc_RNA from 1 species